ensembl:lncRNA
UUCUGGUUUUGCGUCCACAAUAAACCUGGAGGGGAACUUGUUCUGAUCCAACUUCUUGGUUCCUGACCUGCUUUUCCUGGAAACCACACACUAAUUAAAGAUCUCUGGUAAUAUGGAGCAGUCACAGAGUCUUGGUUUAAUUUGUUUCUUCUGGACUCUUCCCUUCCUCGUUCAACCUUCUCCAUGUUAUGGAAGAUGUGCUUUCUUGUCGUUGUAACACUGAUGUUUCGUCGUACCCGACUUCUAGAACCCAGAUGGCUCACAGGCAGGGCCGGGCGCCGCCCAAAUCCCGCCGGGCUGUGCAGGAAUGCACAGGUGGCACCGUGAGCCACGCCCACACCCAGCCACACCCUCUUCACACGGAACAGCUUGCUGAAAGGGACCAGGAUGUCGCCAGGCUGCAGGAGUCUCUGAGGAGAGAACGGGAGAAGGUCUCUCCCUCCACCUCUCACAGAGUCCAAAAAAUCUGAAAAACUUCAAUUUAUCCCAGAGAUUUUAUCCACAGAGAAUAAUAUAAUUACAAUAGUAAAAAUAGUACAAUACAAUCUACAAUAAUAACUUAUUGUAUAUAAAUAAAAUAAGGGUACAAAUACAACCAUUAUUAUGAAAUAUAUAUAAAGCACUUUGUGUGCUAAAUUUCUUAAAAUUGUCAUUGUGAGACUGCAGCACAGCACACGGUGAAACGAGUCCUCUGUAUUUAACCAUCACCCUUGGUGAGCAGUGGGCACCAUGACAGGCGCCUGGGGAGCAGUGUGUGGGGACGGGACUUUCAUCAAGGGGACCUCAGCGGUUUGGGAUUCGAACUGGCGACCUUCUGGUUGCGGGUCGGUUCCCUCGCCCGCUUGUUUGGGGUAUAAAUGGCGUAUAUCCAGUUUGUAUAGAGACAUCUCAACAUGUAGGUGGAGCUGAAACCGGUCACUGAAGCUCCGCCGUUUGUGUUUUUGUCUCGUGGUGGCCGCGCCCUGUUUUGUCUGGCUGUGGGCGGUAACUUCAGCUACGUAAAAUAUAUAUACGUAAUGUGCAUAUUCCAGAGGGUGGUAUGGUCUGCUGAUGUUAUUUAUUCAGAUGGCCUACUGAAUUAGUUGUGUUCAUAAUGGGUAACAAGCUCGUCUAUGAACCAGAAGACCCACAUUCAAACCCCACUUACUAGCAUUGUGUC